AUUAUUAAAGAGAUAAAACAAAACAAAGGUAUCAGAGCCAGAACGGUUCCUCUGACCAAUAGAAUGAUUGAGGAACAGCUGUUUAUUUCUCCAUAGAAGUCUAUGGGAUUUUGGCUUUUGGAGCCACUUCCUGUUUGGAACACUGGGGGGGAGGGGCCACUCAGUCCAAUUCUUAUGUACAGUCAAUGGUAAAAACUAAGUUCUGCAAACUCUGUUUUCGUUGAGGAUUUUACAGAACUGUGCAGAAAAAAGACGUUCCAGAUAAAACUGUUUGUCUGCUUGCAGACCUGAAUGUGGAUCAAUGAGGUGAAAAUGAUCUGUACCGGAGCAGACGGGGCUGCCAGCUCUCAUCACGGUGAUAUAGUAAAUAUGCUCCCUUGACUUUAACAGCAGGACUCGCCAAAGGUCAGGACGACAGCUAAGACGGCGCUCAUCCACAAGCACAGAUAAUGCCAUGUGUGCCUCACAAAUCUACGGGUUUAUCCGAAGACGGCCCACAAACAGCGACACGGCGCCGGAUCUAUUAUUUCAGCAGAUAAGUCACUGAAUUUGGUGACGACAUUCAUCAUAUUAACUGCUAACCUCACUCCAACUUCCACCCACUCCUACCCAGGUUCUGACCUUACUAGCAACCCAUUACUCAUUUUAAAGGUUAUGACGGCUUGUUUUGCGUCCCCAUAAGCAGGAAAAGUGCCAGUAAUGUCACUUUGUGAGCGCAUUUAAAUUCCCACAACACCUGGACCGCACACCAAGCUGUCAGUUGGCUUCUGUGCCGGAGUUUCAUCCGUCUCUUUGCUGGAGGGCUUCAGGAAACCUGCAGUGCUUCUGCUCACCGUGUCUAAAUUGAAUAAAGCACUGACCUUGUGCUAAGGCAUUGUGGGAAAUAAGGACAUCACUGCUGCAAGAUGAAAGCCUCCUACCCUCAAAGUAAAAAAUUAUUUUUUCCAUUACAAAUAAGUGCUUUGUUUGUGUGCACACAGCUGACAUUUGGACUGAGUCGGGUCAAAUCUUUGGCUCAGUAAACACGAGCCAUCCGGUUUUCUUUUAAUUAGUUUCUCAGGCUGUUUCGCUUCAGUCCAGCCUGAGAUUUCACGUGUUUCUGGGCUUUUAGCUGGUAGGAGAGGGAGCAAAGACUCCUCUGUUUCUCUUUAAAAGAGAAGGAAUCUGGUUGGACUCAAAUCAAUGAAUAAAACAUUUUUUUGCACUCGAACAGUUCAAAAUGGCAGAGAGUGAUCUUCAGGCUUUGUAAUCAAUUGCUUUGCUUUCUCUACUUUCCUAAAAGACGACAGGAUUUCCCUUCUGUCACACUCACAGUGUACGUAUGGAGAACUGGAAGAAGGAAUCAGGGAGGCCGAAAUCCUUCCAGCCGAGGCUGCAACAAGUCCAGACCAGUCAGAUGCAAAAGGAGCAGCAAACUGAGCUAAAGUGACACUUUACAUUGAAACUCGGACUGGAUUUCAAUCACACAGACGGAGUCUGGAAGCACGAAAACCUCGUCUGACUCUGUAUUUCUGACCGUCUGUGGUUCAAAUGUUCAUUUUCUUUUCACCUCUGGUCACAAUGUAGUUUCCUGUUGAAAAGCUCUGUGGCUUUUCUAACUGAUGGAAAAUAAACGGUAAAUGUUUGGUUUUA